ACCAGGCAUGGUGUUGAAUGCCUAUAAUCCUUGCUGUCAGGGAGUUUGAGGCUAAUGGAUUGCUUGAGUUGGAGAGUUCUGAGCUUCAGUGUGCUAAGCCAAGCAGUGUCUGCACUUAGUCUGGCAUCAAUAUGGUAAGUCUCUGGAAGUUGGGAAUCACCAGGCUGCCUGAGGAGGGGUACAAUGGCCCAGGUUAGAAAGGGAGCAGGUCAGACCUUCUGAGCUGAUCAGUAGAGGUAUCAGGCCUAUGAGAGGCCACUAUACUUCAGCCUAAGUGAGAUUGGGAGACCCAAU
rnacentral:SRP_RNA from 1 species